rnacentral:misc_RNA from 1 species
AAAAAAAAAAAAAAAAAGAGGUUUCAAAGGAGUUUUGGCAAGUAUGUAGUAUUUAUUUGGAACAAGUAGUAUUUAUUUGGAAGAAAAAUAAAAUAAUAUAUAAACAGUUAAUAAGAUGAAAGUAUUUUUAUUAUUUUAAAUUUUAAAAAUUCAAUUUAUUUUUAUUGGAGUAGUUUUCAAUUUCAUGGCUGCGAGGUCCGCUAUAAAAUGAAAUAAUUUUUUUUAAAAUUUACAAUAUUAUUUUUAAAAUCUCUCUCUCUUUGCUUUGAACAAAUUAUUACCCAACUAAUUAAAAUGACUAAAGAAGGAUACCAGUACAAAUCUUCUCUGAUAAUCUUGCUGCCUAGUGCCUGGUUCCUCAAGUAGGAAUGUUUAGCUUCCCAAAUUAUGCACCGGUCUUUCCUCUAAUUCUAGCUUAUAGCUGUAUGCUGGUAUAGAUAUGCAUUUGGCAGAGAUGGUUCAAGAUGUGGAGGUGAAAGAUAAACAAACUCAUUGGCAUUUUGUUUCCUCAGCUGUUCCUUCAACUCUACACCUUAAGUGUCAAAAAGAGUAUCAGUUCAAUUUUUACGGAGCUUCUAA